GUGAAUCAUCGAAUUUUUGAACGCAAAUUGCACUUUCUGGUAUUCCGGAAAGUAUGCCUGUUUGAGGGUCAGUUAAAUAAAAAUCGGUGUUGUUGCUGCCUUUCGUGGUGACGCGUCGCAACCGGGUCGUCUUACCUUCCCCUCCGUGACUUAAAAUUUUUGCAUGAUUUUCGAACGUAUUUAAAUCGCUUACGUACGUUUGAGAUAUCGAAUGCUUAUUAGGUUCGGUACCUCCCACGAUUCGCGCCUAUAAUUUGUCCUGAAAUGACCUCAAAUCACUUCCUGAUACCCGCUGAAGUU
rnacentral:misc_RNA from 1 species